CCGCUUCAUGAGAUUGAUAUUAUCUUAUAUCUUCUUGCUGGUUUGGAUUCUAGUUAUGAUCUGUUGGUUGCUUCCAUCACCACUUGAGUUGAUCCUUUAUCUUUGGAGAAUAUCAACAGUCACAUGCUUAGUUUUUAGC